CCUACGGGAGGCAGCAGUGGGGGAUAUUGCACAAUGGGGGGAACCCUGAUGCAGCGACGCCGCGUGGGUGAAGGAGCGUUUCGGCGCGUAAAGCCCUAUCGGCAGGGAAGAAGAAGGACGGUACCUGACUAAGAAGCCCCGGCUAACUACGUGCCAGCAGCCGCGGUAAUACGGAGGGGGCAAGCGGUAUCCGGAUUUACUGGGUGUAAAGGGGGCGCAGACGGCAGCGCAAGCCAGGAGUGAAAGCCCGGGGCCCAACCCCGGGACUGCUCUUGAAACUGCGCGGCUGGAGUGCAGGAGGGGCAGGCGGAAUUCCUGGUGUAGCGGUGAAAUGCGUAGAUAUCAGGAGGAACACCGGUGGCGAAGGCGGCCUGCUGGACUGCGACUGACGUUGAGGCCCGAAAGCGUGGGGAGCGAACAGGAUUAGAUACCCUUGUAGUC
rnacentral:rRNA from 1 species